UGGGGAAUAUUGCACAAUGGGCGCAAGCCUGAUGCAGCCAUGCCGCGUGUGUGAAGAAGGCCUUCGGGUUGUAAAGCACUUUCAGCGAGGAGGAAGGUGGUGAGCUUAAUACGCUCAUCAAUUGACGUUACUCGCAGAAGAAGCACCGGCUAACUCCGUGCCAAGCAGCCGCGGUAAUACGGAGGGUGCAAGCGUUAAUCGGAAUUACUGGGCGUAAAGCGCACGCAGGCGGUUUGUUAAGUCAGAUGUGAAAUCCCCGGGCUCAACCUGGGAACUGCAUUUGAAACUGGCAAGCUAGAGUCUCGUAGAGGGGGGUAGAAUUUCCAGGUGUAGCGGUGAAAUGCGUAGAGAUCUGGAGGAAUACCGGUGGC
rnacentral:rRNA from 1 species